AUCGAUGAAGAACGCAGCGAAAUGCGAUAAGUAAUGUGAAUUGCAGAAUUCAGUGAAUCAUCGAAUCUUUGAACGCACAUUGCGCCCCCUGGUAUUCCGGGGGGCAUGCCUGUUCGAGCGUCAUUAUAACCCUCAAGCCCAGCUUGGUGUUGGGGCUCACCGGUCACGGUGGCCCCUAAAAUCAGUGGCGGCGCCUCUAGGCCCUCAGCGUAGUAAUACCUCUCGCUACAGGACCCUAGAGGAUGCUGGCCAGCAACCCCUAAUUUUCUAUGGUUGACCUCGGAUCAGGUAGGGAUACCCGCUGAACUUAAGCAUAUCAAUAAGCGGAGGAAAAGAAACCAACAGGGAUUACCUCAGUAACGGCGAGUGAAGCGGUAAAAGCUCAAAUUUGAAAUCUGGCUCUUUCAGGGUCCGAGUUGUAAUUUGUAGAAGAUGCUUCGGGUGAGGCUCCGGUCUAAGUUCCUUGGAACAGGACGUCAUAGAGGGUGAGAAUCCCGUAUGUGACUGGGUGCCCUCGCCCGUGUGAAGCUCUUUCGACGAGUCGAGUUGUUUGGGAAUGCAGCUCAAAAUGGGUGGUAAAUUUCAUCUAAAGCUAAAUAUUGGCCAGAGACCGAUAGCGCACAAGUAGAGUGAUCGAAAGAUGAAAAGCACUUUGGAAAGAGAGUUAAACAGUACGUGAAAUUGUUGAAAGGGAAGCGCUUGCAACCAGACUUGCGCGCAGUUGAUCAUCUGGGGUUCUCCCCAGUGCACUCGGCUGUGCUCAGGCCAGCAUCGGUUUUGGUGGUUGGAUAAAGGCCCUGGGAAUGUGGCUCCUCUCGGGGAGUGUUAUAGCCCAGGGUGCAAUGCAGCCUACCGGGACCGAGGACCGCGCUUCGGCUAGGAUGCUGGCGUAAUGGUUGUAAGCGACCCGUCUUGAAACACGG
rnacentral:rRNA from 1 species